UACGAAGGGGGCUAGCGUUGCUCGGAAUCACUGGGCGUAAAGCGCACGUAGGCGGAUUGUUAAGUCAGGGGUGAAAUCCUGGAGCUCAACUCCAGAACUGCCUUUGAUACUGAGAGGCUUGAGUCCGGGAGAGGUGAGUGGAACUGCGAGUGUAGAGGUGAAAUUCGUAGAUAUUCGCAAGAACACCAGUGGCGAAGGCGGCUUACUGGUCCGGUACUGACGCUGAGGCGCGAAAGCCAGGGGAGCAAACGGG
rnacentral:rRNA from 1 species